rnacentral:rRNA from 1 species
AUUGAACGCUGGCGGCAUGCCUUACACAUGCAAGUCGAACGGCAGCACGGGAGCAAUCCUGGUGGCGAGUGGCGAACGGGUGAGUAAAGUAUCGGAACGUGCCCAGUCGUGGGGGGUAACGUAGCGAAAGUUACGCUAAUACCGCAUACGAUCUAUGGAUGAAAGCGGGGGAUCGCAAGACCUCGCGCGAUUGGAGCGGCCGAUAUCAGAUUAGGUAGUUGGUGGGGUAAAGGCCCACCAAGCCGACGAUCUGUAGCUGGUCUGAGAGGACGACCAGCCACACUGGGAAUGAGACACGGCCCAGACUCCUACGGGAGGCAGCAGUGGGGAAUUUUGGACAAUGGGCGAAAGCCUGAUCCAGCCAUGCCGCGUGCAGGAUGAAGGCCUUCGGGUUGUAAACUGCUUUUGUACGGAACGAAAAGGACUGCCCUAAUACGGUGGUCCCAUGACGGUACCGUAAGAAUAAGCACCGGCUAACUACGUGCCAGCCGCCGCGGUAA